UAGUGUCCAGGCCCGCACUACCCCACCACCCUACCGGCCCACCGUCGUCGUUGGAACAGGAUGGGGAGGGGCUGCGCGGUUGUUCUCGCGGCGGCGGCGGCGGCGGCGCUGCUGGUGUCGCUGCCUAUGCUGCUGGUGUUGCCGCCGGACGCGGACACGUACGAGCAGGAGAGCCACCGGAUGUUCGUGGGGUGGAAGGCCAGGUACAAGAAGACCUAUAAACACGCCGGCGAAGAGGAGUGCCGGUACGCGUUGUUCAAGGAGAGCCGCUGCCGCGUCGCCUGGGCCAGGGCCGACGGGGUGACCACAUCUGGCCUCAACGGUCUCAGCGCCCUCGCCAAUGAGGAGAUCUACCGCGGGUACAGGGUCCGGAAGGGGGAGGAAUCGUACGAGCAGGAGACCCGACGGAUGUUCGUGGGGUGGAAGGCCAAGUACGGCAAGACCUACAGAGACGUCGGUGAGGAGGAAUGCCGGUACAGGUUGUUCAAGGGCAACCGCCGCGUCGUCGUCCGGCUCAACGCCGCCGCCGGGCAAAAUGUGUACGGCAUCAACCAAUUCGGUGACCUCACCAACGAGGAGGUCCGGGAACGCUGCUACCCGGAGAUGGUGGACCAAGAGCUGAGCGCCAGGUGCCAAGCCGCCGCCCCCGACCCGGACCCCGACCAUGGGAGGCGGAUUUGGUACCAGGCUUGCCGGUGCAUUGAUACGGAAGUGGAGUCUGGAGGCGCUGUUCCUGGAGAUGAAGCACACAUGUGGAUCUGAACGUCACUUGGGAUUGUAUCCUUUUGGGGAUUACAUUUCUUAUACCAACAAGUCACUCACUAUUAAUGAAAUCAAACAUUUGUGGAGGAAACAUCGCUGUGCUAGGACAUAUGGUAGAGAUCUGAAUAUCAGAGUGGACAUUUUUUUUAAAUCUAGCUGAGACGAAUGUUCUGUGUAGUAACUGGAAUGGCUGGAAAGAUCCAAUUAUCUGGUUUGAUGGCGCAACAGAUGCAGUUGGGAUUCAGUUUUUUCUGGAGAAUGUUCAUCC